rnacentral:rRNA from 1 species
GAUGAACGCUGGCGGCGUGCCUAAUACAUGCAAGUCGAGCGAACGGACGCGAAGCUUUCUUCUCUGAUGUUAGCGGCGGACGGGUUAGUAACACGUGGAUAACCUACCUAUAAGACUGGGAUAACUUCGGGAAACCGGAGCUAAUACCGGAUAAUAUUUUGAACCGCAUGGUUCAAAAGUAAAAGACGCUCUUGCUGUCACUUAUAGCUGGUUCCGCGCUGCAUUAGCUAGUUGGUAAGGUACCGGCUUACCAAGGCAACGAUGCAUAGCCGACCUGAGAGGGUGAUCGGCCACACUGGAACUGAGACACGGUCCAGACUCCUACGGGAGGCAGCAGUAGGGAAUCUUCCGCAAUGGGCGAAAGCCUGACGGAGCAACGCCGCGUGAGUGAUGAAGGUCUUCGGAUCGUAAAACUCUGUUAUUAGGGAAGAACAUAUGUGUAAGUAACUGUGCACAUCUUGACGGUACCUAAUCAGAAAGCCACGGCUAACUACGUG